AAGUUUGAUCGUGGCUCAGGACGAACGCUGGCGGCGCGCUUAACACAUGCAAGUCGAGCGAGAACUAGUCCUUCGGGACUAGGGACAGCGGCGAACGGGUGAGUAACACGUGAGUAAUCCACCCUCGGUACCGGAAUAGCCCGGGGAAACGUACGGAUUAAUGCCGGAUGGCCCAUUUGCUCUUCGGAGCUGAAUGGAAAAGAUAGCUUCGGCCUUCGACCGGGGACGAGCUCGCGGCGGAUUAGCUUGUUGGCGGGGUAACGGCCCACCAAGGCGACGAUCCGUAGCUGGUCUGAGAGGACGAUCAGCCACACUGGGACGUGAGACACGGCCCAGACUCCUACCGGGAGGCAGCAGUGGGGAAGUCUUGCGCAAUGGGCGAAAGCCUGACGCAGCGACGCCGCGUGAGGG
rnacentral:rRNA from 1 species